UGUUUGUUUUUUACUUGAUCAAAUGCCAGUCCGUUACUUGUUGAAACAUUAAAGGGAAUUUUUAUUAAUUACAAAAUGUCUAAAAAAAUUAAAAAAUGAUCACCUGCAGUUUAAAAUCUUUUUUUUUUUUUGGUUUCUCUGUGUAGUCUUGGCUGUCCUGGAACUCACUUUGUAGACCAGGCUGGCCUCGAACUCAGAAAUCAGCCUGCCUCUGCCUCCCCAGUGCUGGGAUUAAAGGUGUGUGCCACUACGCCCAGUUGCAGUUUAAAAUCUUAAGUGCUCUAUCGUAGUUAGGAAACAACCAACCAACCAACAAACACUGCCUUUGUGUUAUGGUUCACAUUUAGAAAGUCCUAAGGGCGGCUGUGAGGGCAGCGGGCCUAGAGCCUCUCAAAGAAUUGGUUAAACAGUAGAGGAAGAGGGCGAGCAGCAAAAACCGAGUUCUUCCUGCUUUCAGAGCUUAGCACAAAAUCACUUGAUUUUGUUGUUAGACAGGAGGACACUUGAUUGUAUUUCCUCUGUAUCGCCCAUCCCUUCCCUUCCGAGCUGGUCUGUAUGUUUUUCUGGGAGGAAAGUUGGGUCUGAGAGUAACUUGUAGUCUCAUAGGUACAAUAGGUAACGUUCAGAGAAGGAGAGCCAGCUCUGGGUGUCUCCUGUGAGUCCUAGACUGUCUGCAGUGACACGGAGCCUCAAUGGCUGGUUUAGACUCAGACAUCAUUUCUAAGCUGCAGGGAGUCAGUUCUACUGACUUAAGUGCAAAACCAUUUUUGCUAUAACUGUAAAAGAAACCCUUGUAAUUAGAAAGAAUUUUUUACCUUUAUUUUGAAAAGGAGCCAACUUUCUGAAAGAAAAGUCUCAUUGAUGUUUUUGAGCUAGUGUCCUGUUUGUGUGUAAAUUCUUGUUUCCUUUCUACAGACUUAGUGUGGCAAAGUAUAAUUUUUCUAGAAUGACUCAGUAGUUAAAAUAAAUCUAACUUUGGACAUACAGAGUAUUUUCAACAUAUACGGUGUUCACAAACAAUUGUGUUGCAUUUAUAACCUUCAUCAGGAAUGCGGCAGUGCCCUCCUCUGAAAGAUUCUGACGGACAGAAUGAGCUCCCAAAGAGCAUUUUAAUGGGAAUAAAACUUAGAACCACAUUUUUACGUCUUGUGAAUUAUGCUUUUAAAAAAGAGCCUUACCAUUGAAUUUUAUUUCCAUAAAAACAAAAAUCUAUGUUUGUUACCUACAAAUAGUUAGUGAUUACUGAUACUCAAGUAUUUAUAUUUUUAGACUUGUAAUAAUUUGUUUUAAAAAUUUCGGUAGUAUAGCAUACCAUUUUUGGUAAUGCUUAGAAGUGUUUUAUAUACAUAUAUAUAUAUAUUACAAAUAAAGCAGUUCCCUUUUACAACUUAGUACAAAAACCAUAAUCAGUAGUUAAUAAAGUAAGCAUAUUCCUGUGUUCAAGUUAACAUGAUACAAAAACCGAGACAGUUUACAACCCGGAGUGUGUGCAGCUGCAUACUCAUUUUCUGUGUUUUAUAUUUUUUCAUGUUUUAAAAACACAUUUGAAUAUUUCAGACAGAUUUAUAUUAUGACUGUGAUUCUAAUUAAUAAGAGAGCAGUGAGACGAAGUCCUAGUAUGCCUGCCGCUGGAGGCUGUGGCUAGAAGCCCCCAGAAAGCAGAAGUCUGGCACUGGCUCUUUAUGACAGAGCAAACCCAGCGAGCGCAGACCUCAGAAUUGCUAUGAAGACCCAGUUGGCCUCAAACUCACAAUCCUUCUGCCUCACCUUCCUAAAUAUUGAGACUAUAGCUAUGUUUUGCCAUGCUUGGUUUCAUAUCCUUUAAUUAUUAACUAUAAAUACACAAAGUUUGAACAUCAUAUAUAUUUAUAGUCCCAAAUUUCCUUCCCCACCCUCCUAUCUGGUAUCAUUGAAGCAGUUACAAUUAUAAAAGAUCAUUUUCUGAACUUUCACUUACUGAUCUCUAAAUCUUGUGUCCUAGCCAGAGGUAGAGAUACUUUGUCAAUCAAAGAUUUUUCUUUUGAUCACUUCUGAAUUUUGUAUGUCUAUUUUGUAUGUCAGAGGUAAAGAUGGUUUAGAGAUGACCCAGGUUAGAAGAGCUCUUUGUAAACCAAGUAUUUUAAAACAUUUUAAAGGUAUAGUAUUUCUUCCCCAAAACUUGGAAGAGCUUAGUAGCAGUUAUAUACAUUUAAAAUCUGUUACUGGAGACAGGAAACAGAAAAUUGUUAGGAAUCACAUGGCAGUCAGUGUGAGGGCCAGGCCUCACAGCCAUUUUCAGUCUUUUUGCUUAUCCCGUGAAACAGUUGGAGCUUGCUUUCUGACAUUUAUUAGCUGUUGAUCUAUUGGUGUUAUUUUUGAGUUGAAGUUUUCUUCUGUUUGUUAGUAUUUCCAUACUGCUUCUAUACUGUGACAUUUUAGGUAUCACCCAUAUUAUAUAGUGGAAGCUGUGACUGAAUGGUGUGCAUUAAAACAGAUUUGAGAAGCAACAGCUUCCAGUUCUUUGCGGUGGUUUCCUGUCCUUUGUUUUGGUCUUUUUCUUUAUAAAUUCAAGUGUUCUGUUUGCUUUAGAAGGGCAUGUGUAAGGACAUGUUAGUUAGUUCUGAGCUGGCAGUUGGAAACUUUUGAAACUCAAGAAAUUGCUCUGACAAUGUUUUAACUGCUUUCAAUUAAGAAAAUGUAAGAAAUGGACAAAAAUAAUGUGUGCUGUUUUUUCUGAGUGCUUUACCAUUGUGCAAUGAGGUGACACUGAUGAUGUCCUGUGCUGUGCUUAAGUGUCGCUUAUUUUUAAAUACUUGUAAAGAAAACAGACUUAAAUGUCUGCGUGGCCAAAACCAAGUGCCAUUUAAAAGCAAAAGUAAGUUGAUGUAGAAUGUAUGUUAAUGGUGCUGAUUUUUAAAGUGUGAUUUAAGUUUACAGUAUUACUUGAUGCCUCCUUACAGAAGCGAAUAGAGAAACGAGGCUCGAACACACCUGUGUCCUGAAGCCUUCGUAACCUCAGUUAGAUGAUGCCGGAGUUCAUUCACUGUCCUCACAUUUGAGCUUGACUUCCGUGGUCAGGUGAUGAACCUGCUUUGUUGAAUUCCCCCUCUGUCUCAUUAAAGUGCCACAUUGCAGCUAGCAGUUGAAGAAUAGACUAUAAGAUUUUCAGAUGGUAUAUCAGAAACAAAAUGUUUUUAUUUGUACUAUAAAAAUGUGAUUUUUUUGCUGUCAACUCUGUACUUUUUUAUUGAAAAUGUUUAUAACGUUGCUUUUAAAAUUUCUUAUGAAACCAUUUACAAAUUACACAAUUAAUUUAAUAAAAUGCUUUCAUC
rnacentral:lncRNA from 1 species